UCACAAUAGCGAUCAGAUAUUAAUAAAUAGAGUAGAGUAGAGUCUGACUGGUGUUAUGAGUGUGUUGGAUAGACAAGAAAGAACAACAUACAAGGCUUAAGCAUGUUUAUUGUGCCGAGAAGAGGUGAGAUUUACGAUGCUGUUAGUGAAGAAUGCUCCUAAGGGAUGUCCCAGGAUGUCUGUAAGUUGGAGAUGAAUAAAAGAAACAAACAGAGAUCACAAUGACUAAAAACAUACAAUUAAUAUGUGCAUGUAACAACAAAAGUAAUAAGCUUACAAUCAUUAUAGUUGUGAAGCUUGACACAUUAUGCAACAGUCAGUUCAGAUAAUAUAAAUGAAGUAUGACCUAGACACUAACAUAACCACAUAGAAUAAUGUAGUUAAACAUAUACAAAUAGACAAUUUAAGUAAAAUAAUAUAGCUUGAUUUAAUAAAAAUGGAAUAGCAAAUAGCAUUCUAAAAGCAAAACACUUACACAUAGUAGGUGUAGGGAAGAUAAAGUAGGCCGCAAAAUGGUUGUCCACGCAUAAAAACCUGAGAGCAGGAGGAAGUGGUGCCUGGCUGUACCAGAGGGGGUGAAAGUUGUAUACACAUUCUUUUCUUAAGUGACAUAGAGAAAAGGCCGUAAAUAAGGGUAAUGGGGGAACAGGAAAACCCAAAUAUGGAAUCACAGGAAGGGACUUUGCUAGGAUGAAGAAAAUAAAAAAAUAAAAAUAAAGGUGUCAUGUAACACCAGGGUAUAAGAAUGAGUGUGUGCGCUUGAUCAUUUUGAUGUGAUGAAGUGACCACCUUCUAUGGGCUCAUCAGAACGUGUCUGGAAUAAAGAAGUUUUUGCUCUUUCUCAUCAAAGACUGAAGAUUUUUCAUUGGCUUUUGAGGUCCAUUUCAUUGUAUUUUAUUAGGUUAAGAGUGCUACAUUGGGAAUUAACUGAAACAAAGAAUCCACCCGUGAUGUGUCUGCUCAGAGACGGGUUCUGAGUUCCGACAGUCACUUCUAAUUAACACAUUAUCUGUGUAAAGAUGUUCAGUGUUAAAAGCACUAUACAAAUAAAAAUGAAUUCAACUGUAUAUUUUUUAUAUUUGCUAAGAAUAUUUGUAAAGAAUAUGACAUCUACAUGUGCCAAAUACAAAUCCAUGUAAACAAACAAACAUGCAACUCUAAAAGCCAACAUUCUAAUUGACUCCUGUAUUUGCUUUUAUUUAUUUCUGAGCAUGUGUGUGUGUGUGUGUUACAUAUGUAACCCUAAUUCCCAAAAAGAAUGAGACGCUCUGUCGUAACACUUUGGGAAAGCACCUGCGUUGUCGGCGUGUGAAAUCUGACCAAUAGUUGUGACGAAAUCAGCGGGUGAAGUCACGGCAACCAGGAGCUACAAAAUGGCAGUGCAGGUGCAGGUUGUAGCGACACUGGCUUCUGCACAGAGAGAAGGUAAGCACUGCAGGGAUGCAGGGAGUAUCGCACGGAGAAACAACGGGAACAACUUUGGGAACAAGUGUCUAUCCACUACCCAACUGCUUAACGUCUGCUUAUUGGCCAGGAAACCUUUCCAAUUAGGGCCAUAGCAGACAAACAGCUGCUCCGACUUCUUCCAUGGACUCAUCCUGUGGAGGUACUCUAAACGUUCCGUUAAAUCAGCCUGCGAGCCCCACAAACGCCGGCGCCGCGUUGCCUCGGGCCUCUCCGGGAGCAAAGCGUGCACAUAGCCAUGCGGCUACAAUGCGAACAAUCAUCUCCCUCGAGAGCCGAAUGAGCAUGCUCAACUUCUAGGCAAACAACGCACCGAUCGUGCGUAUCCUUCUUUGUAAUGAAACAGGGACAAGGAUGAACACACUCACAAUAUUUUUGCUUGCCAUCCAUUACUCGAUCAGUAUCACACAUAAACAGCACUUACCUGAAAGAGCAGAAGCCAGCAUCACUACCACCACGCAGCUAUUUUGUAGCUCCUGGUCGUCGCCCACCAAUGACGGCAGAUUUCACACGUGGUUCAGAGCGCGGACAAUGCGGGGGCAUUCCCAAAGUGUUACGACGUAGCUCGAAGUUCCAGAAUGGGGAACUGAUUAUGGAUUUAUCACCUAGUAAAAAAAGUGAUUGCAAAAUUGGGAUGUGACAUUAUUUUAUGAGUUUGGAACUAUUUGUAUAUCUGUUGAAGCUGAGUAGCCAGAGAGUAAUGGUAGAAAUGUGCUGCUUCCAACUCUCCUUGUAUUUUGGGUUUCUGUAGAGGUGUUUAUUUAAUUCCUAGGGUCUUAUUCUUCCAGUAAAAUUAGGUAAUGAUUGAGUACAAAGGUUUAAACAAAGUGAGGGUGAGUUGUAAUGAAAUCAUUGAAAAUAAAUAGUUUAGUUUAGGAAGUAAAGUCAUUUUAAUGACUGAUAUUCUACCCAUAAUGGACAGUGGUAAAUUCCUCCAACGUUGAAUACCAUCAUUUAUUGUAUUGAGUAGUGGAGUGAAAUUAAGACUAACUAUUUCUGACAGUCUGAGGGGAAACAUUAAUGCCUAAAUAUGUGAUGUGAUUGGUGCAUAAAGGAAAGGUAUUAUCUGGGAUCUCACAUCUAAACUAUUGGGAUGCAGUGCAGGAAUAAAGGAUUUACUCCAGUUGACUAAGUAUUCAGAAAUAUGGGAGAAUAAAGUUUAAUAGUUUCUUGUAAUGAUGAUAGGGGAUCUUGUAAGUACAAUAUUAUAUCAUCUGACUGAUUUCAUGUUGUAUAUUUAAUGUUUGAACUCCUUUAUUAUGGACACUUUGGUGUAUAGCUGCUGCUAGCAGGUCAAUAAAGAUGGUCUAAAUGUAUAAAGAAAUGUUUACUUAUUAAGUUUAAAUUUCCCAUUGGAAUGAAUAAAGUAUCUAUCUAUCUAUCUAUCUAUCUAUCUAUCUAUCUAUCUAUCUAUCUAUCUAUCUAUCUAUCUAUCUAUCUAUAUUAGGAAUGGAUUGUGUGACAUCAGCACAGUGAUAUCAUUUCUGUAAUGAUAUGAUUACUGUUUUUAGUAAUUAGUUACAAAAAUUAAAAAAUUAGUUGCAAAAUGUAUUACAGUUAUAAUUUACUUAUUUAUUUAUGUAUUUUUGUUUUGCUUUACAGUUUCAUUUUAAUAACACUUUUUUUUCAGAAAUUUGUUGACCUGUCACAAAUGUUUUGUUACAUUUCCUCCGUUUAAACAGUUAAUAUGUGUUCUACUGUUCUAGUGUGAAUAAAACAUGGGUUUAUGAGAUUUGUAAGUCAUUCUGUGCAUUCUCUAUUUGGUGCUUACACCACGUAGUGAACAGAUGGAAUGGAGCCUCCUUUCCCAAGCUCAAGGAGGCUUUACAAGAUACAAUAUUUCAAGACAGAUGAAAUACAGUGAACAUACAUAUACAUAUUCGUCGGACAUGUGCCCAAAACGAAGGGUCACUUGCAGCUGCAUGAUAACAGAAGACACCACAAACACAAAACAUACAGUACAAGAGAUAGAACUCUACAUAGUACACGAUACAUACACCACAUUUCAGAAAAAUUAAGGACUCCUAAUACAUAUGCAUUUACUGAUAGUGGAGAUUGAAAAGGAGGGUCUUAAGCCUUUAUUUAAAUUCAGACAAAGUGGUGAUGGUUCUGAGUGCAAUAGAUAAGGAGUUCCAUAGUGUUGGAGCAAUGACAGAAAAGAAACUGCCACCCACAGAGGAUAGACAGUAUCUAGGAAUACAUAAAAGUUCAGAAUUUGAAGACCGGAGUGAUUGUGAAGGAAAUAGGAUGAGAGAAGAUCGGAAAGAUGGGGGGGGGUUUGGGGAGCAUUUAGUGCCUUAUAAGUGAGCAGUAUGGUUUUAUAUUAUAUGCGAGAUGAGACUGGCAGCCAGUGAAGAUCAAAUAAUAUAGGGGUAAUGUGGGCAGAUUUCUUUAUUGGAGGUUAACAUUCUGGCAGCCGAGUUUUGUAUGUACUGUAAACGUGAGAUUGAUUGAGCUGAUAGACCAGAGAAGAGUGAAUUGCAAUAGUCGAGACGGGAUGUAAGCAGAGCAUGCACUAAUGUUUCGGCAUCAUUUCUGCAGAUAAAAGGUCGCAGUUCUAACAGAAGCUGAGGGGAAGAUUGUAGUAGCAUCCAGAUCAAGACUAAAGUCCACAGAGUUGUUUUUUAUUAGAGAUGGGGGACCAGUUAUCAGAAUGUCGGUUUUACCCAGAUUUAGGCUAAGAAAAUUAGAGUGGAGCCAUAGUUUUAACUCGUUAACACAAGAGGAGAGUGAGGAUUUUACAUUAGAAGAAUCUGGUUGACAAGCAGUAUAUAACUGAAUAUCAUCAGCAUAACAAUAAUAACUAAAACCAUGUUUACGAAUGAUGUUACCAAGCGGCUGAAUGUACAGAAUGAAUAGUAGUGGUCCAAGAACAGAGCCCUGUGGGACACCCUGUCUAAGUAGGACAGUAGGAGAUUUGGAAUUGUGUAUGGAGAUGUGAUAUUGAGUGCCCGUGAGAUAAGAGGAAAGCCAGGAUAGUGCAGAGCCUAAUAUGCCAAAUUCUGCUAAGCGGGAAAGUAAAAUCUUAUGUAUCAAAGGCAGAGCUGGGGUAAUAACAGAAGUAUAGCGAGACUACCUGAGUCUCCAAUGAGUAAAAGAUCAUUAAAAACCUUUACUAGCACGGUCUCCAUGCUAUGCUGUUGGUGGAAGCCAGAUUGAAAAAUAUCGAAGAGGUUGUUACCAGCUAGGAAUGACUGCAGCUGAGAGGCCACAGCCUUUUCCAUGAUCUUCGAUACAAAUGGCAGGUUGGAAAUAGGGCGAUAGUUGGAUAAGUCUGCCGGGUCCAGAUUAGUCUUUUUGAGUAUAAGAGUAACAGCAGCAGUCUUAAGUGACACAGAUACAGUAGAGGAGAUAAAUGAAACAUUAAUAAGGUGGGAGAUGGGGGCAGAAAUCGCCGAUGUACAGUCGUUUAGCAGGAAAGUAGGUGCAGGAUCAAGAAUGCAUGAUUAAGAGUUAGAUUUUUGUAUUAACUCAGUGAUUAAAGAGGAAUUGGUUAAGGCUAGGGUUGUCAUAGUGUUAUUAGAUUGAGAUUUCAUAUGCACAUCGGUAGUUGUUUCCUCACCAAAUGUCACAUACAGAGUAUCUAGCUUACCCUGGAAAUGGUUCAGGAAAGAGCAGCACAUAACCAUGGAUUCAGAGUCACUAAGGCUGUGCUUUGGUGCUUGAGUCAGUUUAUUAAUUGUGCUAAAUAACAUUUUGGGCCUAUUGCUUGCUUUGUUAAUGAUGCUGGAGAUAUGGGAAGAGCGGGCUGCAUUUAAGGCCAGUUUGUAUUGCUGAAGGCAUUUAGCGUAUAUAAGAAAAUGGCAGGUUGAACCAGUUUUCCUGAAGAGACGUUCAUGUUUACAUUUUACCUUUAAACCUCUAAGCUCUGCAUUGAACCACGGGGGAAACAGUCACAUGGUUGGGCGGAGCAAUUGUAAUGAUGGCCAGGUUUUGGUUAUCAAAUUAGUGGGUCUAUAAAAGGAGCAGUCGGUGUCUGGUGGGAGUGCGUUUUCCUGAACACUGGUGAUGGCACCGGAUACCUGGCGCAGCUGGGAGAGGGUCGUGUGUGUGUCUGUUUCAGUGCUCCACACUGUGACGGUCUGCUGAGAGGUGGCCUGAGAAACUGCUGCUAUACAUAUUUGUUUAUCUGAGGAGUUUGAAGACCUUGAUGCUACCCAACAGUUAGUGGAAUGCUAAGAGGUGUCUGGGGGACAAGUUCUAGUGUGAGGGACAAGUUCCUCUCUGCUUGGUGGUGGUUUCCUUUGGUGUGCAGUGAUCGACAGGUGGGGUUGUGGUGUUGUAUGAGUGCACGUGUGUUUGCUGUGGUUAGAAGAUCAUUAGAGUAAGGUCCCCAGCCAUGGAGUCCAAGCAUUCUUGUGUGGUAUAUGUAUGGUGUGAUGUAAUUUUAAGAGUUCUUAAUAAACUGUGUGUAUUAUA